ensembl:lncRNA
UCUGGAGUUUACCGAUGAGGAGGUGAGAGAGCUGGACAGACUGCAGGAUUAAAGCGCCGCCGCGUCGGGUUUUCAGCUAGCGCCGGGUAAACCCCACCGCGGCAGUAUCCGCAGGUAAUCGUGGGUGACGUAGGAAUCCGUUAACCUCAGAAUCGCAUUACAGAAAAGACCUCGGACGUCACUAACGGCCGCGUGCUCAUUCUAAAUAUCGAUCGAUAUGCAAGCCUUUCAGGGUGGAGUUUUCCUUUAAUUAGGUGGUCCCGAUGUCUUUUUCCUCCGUCCAGACACGUCUUACGUCGCUGUUUCAACCUGUUUAAGCAUUAAUGAAGACGGAGAGAAAGCCUCCUCAGGGUUUAGAGAUCAGACGUCGGUUUAAAGCCACACAACUCAAUUUUUAAAAGCCAUUUAAAGGAAUACUCCGGCAUUUUUCAACCUAAUCUCCAUCCACUCUCUGUGGUGAGUGUGUGUGUGUGUGUGUGUGUGUGAUUAUAAUAGACAAGAAAAAAAAUCAUUUACCGCCAAACUCACUUACAAUGGAAGUCAAAGUGAAUGGAAUACAACGGAAAUGUAUUGCUGCACUUGGACUUCCAAUGGGAAGAACGCCGGAGUGUCGUUUAUUGACGUGUACAGGAUGUUUUUUAUUUUUAACCGUUAAAGCGCAGAGCAACCCCAUCAUGAGCCAAUCCAUAAAUCUCUACAAGUACGGUGCAGAUAAAGCCAUUAGAUUAGCAAGCACACUUUCUUCUUAAGCUUCAUAUGGGUUCAAGUCACAGGGUCAUGGAUUUUCCUCAAACCUCACGAUAAAGGGGCGUGGCCCCUUACCAUCUCCGCUAUUUACUUGUAUUAUAUUUUUUUAAAAUAUAAAAAAAAAAGCUAGGGGUUCAGCGUUGAGAGGCGUGUUUGAAAUUUUCAGGUCUGAUGAACAAUUUUCACCUCAGUAAAACAAGCUCUUGAUUUGUAGUCGCACUUUAUGUAGAUACGGACGCAGAAUAUGAGUUUCUAUUUUUAAGCCGACGGUCUCGGAGAGCGUAUCGGUGUAUUGCGAUUUAUUUUAGUAAAAAAUUCCUGUGUACAUACUGUAAUAACGGAUCGGUGGAGUACAUAUACGGACAUAUUUUGCUUAUGAUGAUAGAGAGACGGGUGUUGCUGGAGGAAUGAAAACUGGCAUUGCUGACGUCAAGCCGGUUAACGAUUGCGUGAUGGACGAAUGUAAAUAACGCUGCCUUCAAGUCCUGAUCGCUGGGCGAGCGCGCUUCGACGCCACGACGACGUCGUGACUGCACCUGGGGAACCUGGGAAAUCUGAGCAGUUGAAGGUUAAGGGCCUUGCUCAAGGGCCCAACAGUGGCAGCUUGGCGAUGAUGGGGUUUGAACUCAUGACCUUCCGAUUAGCAGCCCAACAUCUUAACCACUGAGCCACCACUGCUCGUGUUUCAUGACCUAAUCAUGACCUCGUACGCACGAGGUUCUGAACAGGAUUUGAAGGCAGCAUGUGUAAUGUUCUACGACAGGGUGUGUACAGAUAAAAGCUUGAUUACUAAUAUAACGAUAUCGAUGUCUGAAAUAUGCUUUAUUUCCAUUCUAGCUAACGUCCCGUUCGGUAACAAAUAAAACACUGUCACGGGAAAUGAUUAUUUUUCCUAGAACAGCUCGUCCCGAAGUGCUUUAUUCCUCUUAUACCGCAGCAAUUUGUGACCCAUUACUAAUUUCUAUCUACUGACCCAUCAUACCUGUUUAAAGUUAGAUUUAACGUCCGUGAAACAGACUAGUUCCUGUUAUCACUUGCGUUAUAGCAGCUAUAAACAGUCGUUCCCUCACCAGCCUUUCUCUCUCUCUCUCUUUUUUUAAAGAAACGCCCCCCCCCCCCCGCGCGAGAACCCACGAAACGUAACCUCGUCCGUCCUGAACAUGUCCGUACACUUUACCUCUGACUGUUACAAAGCUCUGACAAUGGAGACUCCUUACAUAAACGACUUCCCGUUAGUUAUUCGUCUUGGAUUGGAUUACGCCGGUUAUUAGUCCGCUGUACAGACCCCUCCGUGAAUAAGCGGUCGCCAUAGUGACUCAUCGUAAAAGACUCAUCGGAAUC